UGACCCUAAUGACAAAAAGCCACAAUUAUUUCCAAAAACCCUACCGCAGCAAUCGUUCCAUUGUCUAAAACCCUACCGUAAUCGUCCAGAGCUUCCACAGGAGCACAACCCUCCUCCAAUGGCAGAACAACCAAAUCCAACCUUCAAGCCCAUCAAACCCAAGCUCAGGCCAAAACCCAGAACCCCCAAGCAAACCCCAGAGUCCAAGUACUGGUCUUCCUUCAAGACCCACCAAAUCCCAAACCUCAUCUCCUCUAUCACCUCCCUCACCUUCUCUCCCACACCACCACACCCCUUCGCCGCAGCCCACUCGGCCUCGCUCACCCUCUUCAGCCCCCAGACCCUCUCUCCCUCCUCCACCAUCUCCUCCUUCUCCGAUGUCGUUUCCUGCGCCUCGUUCCGCUGCGACGGCCUCUUGAUUGCCGCCUCGGAUCUCUCGGGCCUAAUCCAAGUCUUCGAUGUCAAAACCCGGACCCCACUGCGUAAGCUCCGGUCUCACACACGCCCGGUACGUUUUGUUCAAUACCCAGUUCGUGAUAAGCUCCAUUUGGUCUCUGGUGGCGACGAUGCCCUCGUCAAGUACUGGGAUGUGGCCACCGAGACCCCAAUCUUAAAUUUUCAGGGUCAUAAGGAUUAUGUGCGUAGUGGUGAUUUUUCACCGGUUAGUCAUGAAAUGUGUGUCACUGGGUCAUAUGAUCACACGGUUAAGCUUUGGGAUGUGAGGGCGACUGAUUCCAAAUGGGUUAUGGAGGUGAACCAUGGAAAACCUGUUGAGGAUGUGGUCUUUUUGCCAUCUGGGGGGUUGGUUGCUACUGCGGGUGGGAAUUCGGUUAAGAUAUGGGAUUUGAUAGGGGGUGGGAAGAUGGUUUAUUCGAUGGAGAGUCAUACGAAGACGGUUAUGUCGGUUUGUGUAGGGAGAGUUGGGAAGGAGAGUGGAGAGGAGGAGAGGGAGUACAGAGUUUUGAGUGUGGGAUUGGAUGGGUAUAUGAAGGUUUUCGAUUAUGGGAGGAUGAAGGUUACGCACUCGAUGAGGUUUCCGGCACCACUUAUGUCGAUUGAGGUUUCGCCUGAUUGUGGGGUGAGAGUGAUUGGGAGUUCUAAUGGGGUAAUGUAUGUUGGGAAGAGGAAAACAAAGGAGGAGAAUGUGGAGAGUGGUGUAAGGAGUUUUUGGAGUUUAGGGCAGGAGGAGGAGAGAAGGGUUAUGAGGCCUUCAUAUUUUCGGUAUUUUCAUAGAGGACAAGGGGAGAAGCCUAAGGAGGGAGAUUACUUGGUGAUGAGGCCAAAGAAGGCGAAGUUAGCGGAGCAUGAUAAGUUGUUGAAGAAGUUUAGGCAUAAGGAGGCUUUGGUGUCAGUGUUGGGGAGUAAGAAUCCAGAGAAUGUGGUGGCUGUGAUGGAGGAAUUAGUGGCGAGGAGGAAGUUGUUGAAAUGUGUUGACAACUUUGAUAAUGAGGAACUUGGGUUGUUGUUACUGUUCUUGCAUAAGUACUCGGCAGUGCCAAGAUACUCCGGUUUUCUGAUGGGGUUGACAAAGAAGGUGAUUGAAAUGCGGGUUGAAGAUAUUAGAGGCUCUGAGGCCUUGAAUGAUCAAAUUAGAAACCUUAAGCGGUCUGUUGAGGAGGAGAUAAGGAUACAACAGUCAUUGCUAGAGAUACAGGGUAUCAUUUCUCCUUUGUUGAGGAUUGCCGGGAGAAGAUGAAACCUUAUUAUUGCCUUUCUGUUUAUUAUGAGGGAAUUGACUUUCAAUCAUCUCUUCAAAGUGAUCUCAAUGGCCAGGGAUGAAUAAAUAUACUCUAAAGGGAACCCCAAACUCUUAAAAGAUGAAAAGCCUCCAUCUACCACCAAAUUAUGCCCGCUAACAGUAACAUACUUGGCAAUUGGCAUCAUCAGACACAAGGCAUUGUGCAGCAUUAUCAUCCAUUUCCAUAAGCCGUCGAUCAUCAACACCAGGAAAAAUCUGACUCAUUUCGUCCAUUACAAAUGGAGUUGGAAUGGCUAAUGGUGAUAUGCAAUUCACCUAGAUUCCAUACUUGCAUAACUCUGCAGCCAGAGACUUAACAAUGCCUAUAACAGUACUACAGUAGACUUGGACACAGAAUAUGUGUGCUGUGAUAGUCCCUCUAUCAGUCCAGUGACACUAGCUGUACAGAGAAUUGAGCCUGUUCAACGCGGG